rnacentral:rRNA from 1 species
UUGAACGCUGGCGGCAUGGCUAAAACAUGCAAGUCGAACGAUUAAGCCCCUUCGGGGGUGUAUAAAGUGGCGAACGGGCGAGUAAUGCGUUUCUAACGUGCCCCGAGGUCGGGGAUAGCUGGGGGAAACCCCAGGUAAUACCCGAUGACCCCAUCGGAUCGCAUGGUCUGAUGGGCAAAGGCUUGCUGCCUCGGGAUCGGGAAACGUCCUAUCAGGUUGUUGGUGAGGUAACGGCUCACCAAGCCAGAGACGGGUAGCGGGUGUGAGAGCACGACCCGCCGCAUCGGGACUGAGACACUGCCCGGACUCCUACGGGAGGCUGCAGUAACGGAUAUUGGGCAAUGAGCGCAAGCUUGACCCAGCAAUGCCGCGUGCAGGAUGAAGCCCCUCGGGGUGUAAACUGCUGUCAGGGUUUAGGAAGCAAGUGACCAAACCCAAAGGAAGGGCCGGCUAACUUCGUGCCAGCAGCCGCGGUAAUACGAAGGGCCCGAGCGUUAAUCGGAAUCACUGAGCUUAAAGGGUGCGUAGGCGGAAACGUCAGUGUCUUGUGAAAUCCCACGGCUCAACCGUGGAACUGCAGGGCAUACUGCGUUUCUUGAGGCCGGUAGAGGUCGUCGGAACUCUAGGUGUAGCGGUGAAAUGCGUAGAUAUCUAGAGGAACGCCAAAGGUGAAGACAGGCGACUGGGCCGGUUCUGACGCUGAGGCACGAAAGCGUGGGGAGCAAACAGGAUUAGAUACCCUGGUAGUCCACGCCGUAAACGUUGUGCACUAGAUCCGGGAGGUUUUGACGCCGUCCGGGUCGAAG